UACGAAGGGGGCUAGCGUUGCUCGGAAUCACUGGGCGUAAAGCGCACGUAGGCGGAUUGUUAAGUCGGGGGUGAAAUCCUGGAGCUCAACUCCAGAACUGCCUUCGAUACUGACGAUCUCGAGUCCGGGAGAGGUGAGUGGAACUCCGAGUGUAGAGGUGAAAUUCGUAGAUAUUCGCAAGAACACCAGUGGCGAAGGCGGCUCACUGGCCCGGUACUGACGCUGAGGCACGAAAGCGUGGGGAGCAAACAGG
rnacentral:rRNA from 1 species